AUUUUUGGGCUUUAGUGUUUUUU
rnacentral:snRNA from 1 species